UGGCUGCGCGUCACGCGUCUGCGAGGCCGUACGCGCCUGUCCUACGCGUCUAGAGAGGGCAGACGCGCAGGAAACGCGCGCGUCAAGGAGGUCUUGAUCUUGGGCGUCAUUUUGAGCGUACGCGACGGAAGUGGCAGCUUGUGCACGGACGUCACGUGGGCCGCAUGUACACUUCCGGUGGUUCGGAAAGGUUGUUGAAGUUUCAGAAUCGUGCGGAGACGCCGGGAGUCGCCGCUGGUUUCGUGUCGAUAGAUCACAAAGGCUAUGGAGGCGAUCAACAACGAAGCGCUGAUCGCCUGCGUUGAGGCUCGACCUGCGCUUUGGUAUCAGGCGAAACACAAGCGCCACUAGAACAAGCACUUGACGAGGUGGUCGUGGAUCGUCAUGCCCAACGCUGCCGAACAGAUGACGUUAUCACAGCGCUGCAGAAGUGAUGGAAGUCCCUGGGGAAUAAAUUUCGGCGCCUGGGAAGACGUUUCAGAAAGAAAAGAGCCGCGCCGUGCCAGUCGACGUUCACGACGACGUCAUCUGGCUGUUUUUCGACCAGAUGAUAUUUCUGCGCUACACAAUGGAGUGUAGACCGAUGUCCGCCAACCUUCCACCAGUGCCCCCAUCGAGUGACGAGGGAAGUGCUGCAGACAUCUUAACAAAAAAUGUGCCAGUUUUCCGACCUGGCAACACUUGAAGUGCCAUCACCGUCAAGUGAAUAGUCACAAGCGCC